rnacentral:rRNA from 1 species
GUGGGGAAUAUUGGACAAUGGGCGAAAGCCUGAUCCAGCCAUGCCGCGUGUGUGAAGAAGGUCUUCGGAUUGUAAAGCACUUUAAGUUGGGAGGAAGGGCAGUAAGUUAAUACCUUGCUGUUUUGACGUUACCGACAGAAUAAGCACCGGCUAACUUCGUGCCAGCAGCCGCGGUAAUACGAAGGGUGCAAGCGUUAAUCGGAAUUACUGAGCGUAAAGCGCGCGUAGGUGGUUUUGUAAGUUGGAGGUGAAAUCCCCGGGCUCAACCUGGGAACUGCCUCCAAAACUGCAUGACUAGAGUACGGUAGAGGGUAGUGGAAUUUCCUGUGUAGCGGUGAAAUGCGUAGAUAUAGGAAGGAACACCAGUGGCGAAGGCGACUACCUGGACUGAUACUGACACUGAGGUGCGAAAGCGUGGGGAGCAAACAGGAUUAGAAACCCUAGUAGUCC